AGAGUUUGAUCAUGGCUCAGGAUGAACGCUAGCGGCAGGCCUAAUACAUGCAAGUCGAACGGUAAGUUGAGUAGCAAUACUUGACCAAGAGUGACGUAAGGGUGCGUAACACGUAUGCAAUCUGCCCUCAACAGGAGUAUAGCUCGGCGAAAGCCGGAUUAACCCUCCAUAAUAUGAUUGGUUGGCAUCAACUGAUGAUUAAAACUACGGUGGUUGAGGAUGAGCAUGCGGAUGAUUAGCUAGUUGGCAGUGUAACGGACUACCAAGGCGAUGAUCAAUAGGGGAACUGAGAGGUUGAUCCCCCACACUGGCACUGAGAUACGGGCCAGACUCCUACGGGAGGCAGCAGUAGGGAAUAUUGGACAAUGGGUGCAAGCCUGAUCCAGCCAUGCCGCGUGCAGGAAGAAGGCUUUCUGAGUUGUAAACUGCUUUUGCCAGGGGAUAAAAAACCGAUGCGUCGGGAAUUGAAGGUACCUGGUGAAUAAGCCACGGCUAACUACGUGCCAGCAGCCGCGGUAAUACGUAGGUGGCAAGCGUUGUCCGGAUUUAUUGGGUUUAAAGGGUGCGUAGGCGGUUUUUUAAGUCAGUGGUGAAAUACUUCAGCUCAACUGGAGAGGUGCCAUUGAUACUGGAGAACUUGAGUACUGAUGAGGUAGGCGGAAUGGACGGUGUAGCGGUGAAAUGCUUAGAUAUCGUCCAGAACACCGAUAGCGAAGGCAGCUUACUAAAGAGUAACUGACGCUGAGGCACGAAAGUGUGGGGAUCAAACAGGAUUAGAUACCCUAGUAGUCC
rnacentral:rRNA from 1 species